GCCCCAGUAACGGCGAGUGAAGCGGCAACAGCUCAAAUUUGAAAUCUGGCCCCCAGGGCCCGAGUUGUAAUUUGCAGAGGAUGCUUUUGGCGCGGUGCCUUCCGAGUUCCCUGGAACGGGACGCCAUAGAGGGUGAGAGCCCCGUCUGGUCGGACACCAAGCCAGUGUAAAGCUCCUUCGACGAGUCGAGUAGUUUGGGAAUGCUGCUCUAAAUGGGAGGUAUAUGUCUUCUAAAGCUAAAUACCGGCCAGAGACCGAUAGCGCACAAGUAGAGUGAUCGAAAGAUGAAAAGCACUUUGAAAAGAGGGUUAAACAGUACGUGAAAUUGUUGAAAGGGAAGCGUUUAUGACCAGACUUGGGCCCGGUGAAUCAUCCAGCGUUCUCGCUGGUGCACUUUGCCGGGCUCAGGCCAGCAUCAGUUCGUCGCGGGGGACAAAAGCUUCGGGAACGUGGCUCCCUCGGGAGUGUUAUAGCCCGUUGCAUAAUACCCUGCGGUGGACUGAGGUUCGCGCUCCGCAAGGAUGCUGGCGUAAUGGUCAUCAGCGACCCGUCUUGAAACACGGACCAAGGAGUCGUCUUCGUAUGCGAGUGUUCGGGUGUCAAACCCCUACGCGUAAUGAAAGUGAACGCAGGUGAGAGCUUCGGCGCAUCAUCGACCGAUCCUGAUGUUCUCGGAUGGAUUUGAGUAAGAGCAUACGGGGCCGGACCCGAAAGAAGGUGAACUAUGCCUGUAUAGGGUGAAGCCAGAGGAAACUCUGGUGGAGGCUCGCAGCGGUUCUGACGUGCAAAUCGAUCGUCAAAUAUG
rnacentral:rRNA from 1 species